rnacentral:rRNA from 1 species
CAGCCGCCACGGUAAUACGUAGGGUGCAAGCGUUAAUCGGAAUUACUGGGCGUAAAGCGUGCGCAGGCGGUUAUAUAAGUCGGAUGUGAAAUCCCCGGGCUCAACCUGGGAACUGCAUUUGAGACUGUAUGGCUAGAGUGUGUCAGAGGGGGGUAGAAUUCCACGUGUAGCAGUGAAAUGCGUAGAUAUGUGGAGGAAUACCGAUGGCGAAGGCAGCCCCCUGGGAUAACACUGACGCUCAUGCACGAAAGCGUGGGGAGCAAAUGGGAUUAGAUACCCGAGUAGUCCCUGUCUCUUAUAC